CCCUUAGAUGUUCUGGGCCGCACGCGCGCUACACUGACUACUUCAACGAGUUGUUUCCUUGAUCGAAAGGUCUGGGUAAUCUUUGAAAGGUAGUCGUGAUGGGGAUAGAUCCUUGCAAUUUUUGAUCUUCAACGAGGAAUUCCUAGUAAACGCAAGUCAUCAGCUUGCAUUGAUUACGUCCCUGCCCUUUGUACACACCGCCCGUCGCACCUACCGAUUGAAUGGUCCGGUGAAUCUUUAGGACUGUGGCUGAGGCCUUGCCUUGUGCGGGUCUGGCCGUGGGAAUUUAGUUAAACCUUACCAUUUAGAGGAAGGUGAAGUCGUAGCA
rnacentral:rRNA from 1 species